AUUAGUCUUUUAAUUGGAGACUGGUAUGAAUGGCUAAACGAGAAAUCGACUUUUUUUAUCUUAAAAAUUGAAUUUAAUUUUUUAGUGAAAAAGCUAAAAUUUUUCAGAAAGACGAGAAGACCCUAUAGAGUUUUAUAUUUUUAUAAACUUUUUCUUUGUGGAUUUUUUUGGAAUAAGUUUUUUUAAAGUAUUUUGUUGGGGCGACAUUAAGAUAAAAGAAACUCUUUAUUUUUUAAACUUUUAUAAAAGAAUUGUUUGAUCCUUUAAAAGAGAUCAAAAGAAAAAAUUACCUUAGGGAUAACAGCGUAAUCUUUUUUGAGAGUUCUAAUCGACAAAAAGGUUUGCGACCUCGAUGUUGGACUAAAAUUUAUACAAGGUGCAGUAGUUUUGUUUUUAGGUCUGUUCGACCUAUAGUAUUUUACACGAUCUGAGUUCAGACCGGCGUAAG
rnacentral:rRNA from 1 species